UUGUUGGGUGGAUGAGUGGCGAACGGGUGAGUAACACGUGAGUAACCUGCCCCCUUCUUUGGGAUAACGCCCGGAAACGGGUGCUAAUACUGGAUAUUCACUGAUCUUCGCAUGGGGGUUGGUGGAAAGGUUUUUUCUGGUGGGGGAUGGGCUCGCGGCCUAUCAGCUUGUUGGUGGGGUGAUGGCCUACCAAGGCUUUGACGGGUAGCCGGCCUGAGAGGGUGACCGGUCACAUUGGGACUGAGAUACGGCCCAGACUCCUACGGGAGGCAGCAGUGGGGAAUAUUGCACAAUGGGCGAAAGCCUGAUGCAGCGACGCCGCGUGAGGGAUGGAGGCCUUCGGGUUGUAAACCUCUUUCGCUCAUGGUCAAGCCGCAACAUUGGUUGUGGUGAGGGUAGUGGGUAAAGAAGCGCCGGCUAACUACGUGCCAGCAGCCGCGGUAAUACGUAGGGCGCGAGCGUUGUCCGGAAUUAUUGGGCGUAAAGGGCUUGUAGGCGGUUGGUCGCGUCUGCCGUGAAAUCCUCUGGCUUAACUGGGGGCGUGCGGUGGGUACGGGCUGACUUGAGUGCGGUAGGGGAGACUGGAACUCCUGGUGUAGCGGUGGAAUGCGCAGAUAUCAGGAAGAACACCGGUGGCGAAGGCGGG
rnacentral:rRNA from 1 species